ensembl:lncRNA
CUUCACCAAGCCAGACUGUUGCUGUGGGCUUGAACGGUCACAAGAGGUGAAUUUAUGAAGCGCGCGUUAUACAAGGACUAAUACUUUUCCCGUAAAGAAGUCAAACGACCUCAUCGACCACCACAGAAUCCAGAAGGCCUCCAUUCCCAUUGUCUGAGUCACCCCGAUCCACGUCAUCAAUGGAGCAAUCUUCUGUCUCCCAAACAUCUCAAGAAGAUUCAGACACAUCUACCCCUUCUGAGGCCAUUUCACAUGAAAUGUGGUCUCCCCAGCUCCCCUGUCCACCAGGCAAGACAUCCCUAAGCUUCCCAGGAUCAUGUCAGCUGAACUCAAUUAAUGAAACCAGGAAUGAAGUCAUUCCAAAAGGACUUGUGGAGCGCUGCUCCUUCCAAAGCCCCCCAGAAGUUCAUAAAUUAUCUCCUACAUGGGAUGUAUACCAGGGAAUAUAUGGCAGGCCAUUCAGUGACUGGCCAGUCAUCCAGCAGCUGCACAGAAGGAAAACCUGGCCUAGCCCAACAGGACCUUGUUGAAAUAACAAGUAGGUAUAUAGAAAUGAGAAAAGAUGUUGGUUGAGUGAUACCCUCAUUCUCAUGCACAUCUUUCGUGUAUGUGUUUGUGUGUGUGUG